UCAGUGAAUGUCUGAAAGUCCGGAGAGUACCAAACUCUAAAUAUACUAUGUUUUUUUUUUCCUGUGCAUAAGUACCUUUUCACUUAAAAAAAGCUCUUCAUGGCUUCUAUUUGGCAUAAUCUAAUUGCAGAAUCUUUUGUGCUUUUGGACCCUUAUUAGGUAAAAUAAGGGUUACUAGCACAAUCUCUGAGCCACCAUGACAGUUGAUCUGAUAACAGAAUCUGCUCAGUGAGUACCAGGCAGGUAUCAUAUGCAUUGUGGAUGUGUGGGCAAAGAGAUGAUUCUUGUCCCAAGCCAGAUGGAGUUCGGGAAGGUGACAAUGAGAGAUUUCAUCACCCUACUCAGAAAAGUGUGCAAUUUAAAACUUACAAAUUAUUUAAUAUUUUCAAACUAAGGUUGACCUCGGGUAACUGAAACUGCAGAAGGCAAACCCACAGAUAAGGGGGGGACUACUAUAUUUUUUACUUCAUUUGCAAUUAAUGUUCUGCCACCUGUUGGAUUAUGUGUUUAAUUGUAGGGUUAUUUGUUUUAAAGGUAGAUUGUAGGAUUGUAGGGUUAUGUGUUAUACCAAGCACUUCUAUGGGUAGGAGUGAAUAGUCUGAAAGUGGCUCUGUAGCCACCUAUCACCCAGUGGCAUGCAUGUUCCCUGGGACUCCGUGAGAGGAGGGCUCCUUGUCUACCGAUAAUUGAGGAAUACCGUGCAUCCCUACUUGGACUUAUACUGUCCAUAAUAAAAGGACCAAGACUUGUCAUGUAAGGGGGGGUGGGGCAAAUCUUUCCAAGGCACUCAUUGAUUUGGGAGUUCCUACCACUGUCAUGGUAAUAAUAGGGCACCAGGAUACAGCUAUCCUAUAGCCAUGAUUACCAAACUGUGCCAAGCAAGCUGCCCUGAGGUGCCACAGCAAGCUCACAGGGCAACACGGGCUAUUUUAAAUUUCCAAAGGAAACGGAUAUGCCACAUCUGCCAGACACUGUGCGAGCCUCUAGUUCCAGGCAGUUUCCACUUUCAGUAUGGAUCCUGCUACGUUAGUUUUGAUGAUGUCUUGGCAAAGUUAGGUUUUCUACGGUUGCUGUACUAAAAAGCAAAUACCGCCAAAAAUCAGUGUGGAACAGGAAAUGAGAGUGGUGGUAUCAGUCUGAUUCUAAGAUUUGAGAAGUUGUGCACUGCCCAUCAGAUGCACACGUCCCAUUAGUAGGUAACUGUGGUUAUUUAAGAAUGAAAUAAAGACAUAUUUAUUUCAAUAUUUGGGUAUUAUUUUUUAAAAUAGCUACUAAAUUAUUAGAACAUAUAUAUUCUUUAAAUUGUUUGGCUCUAACUGUGUAAUUAAUACAACUGUUAGCUGUUUCUUUUGGCUUUAGAGUGCCAUGAAAAAUUUACUGAGACAGAAAGGCUGCUGAGAGGGCAGGUUUGAAACCUCUGCUCUAUACCACCCUGGGAACCCUCUGUAAUGUCUUUCGCUUUGCCUGUAAAGCGGUAUUUGGAUAUGUACUUUUUAUACAUUAAAAUUCCUACUUUAGGGUUUUGAGCAAUUUGGGAAAGUAUUCUGGGCCAUAAUUUUAUUUUAUUCUGGUAUCAUUUCAUAGUUUAGCAGUUGUACAACAUUCUGGUGGCACAGUUUUGGUUUAUAACUUUUCUUAUUCAUGGCAUUAUGCUCAGAUUUUUGUGUGAUAUUGUAUGUCAAGUAUGCAUCUGUUAGAUUUUACAAGAACAUGGUCAUGAGUACCCAACGAACAGAUUUCUUUCCCUUGAAUUAAGUGUAAAAUAUUCAUUAUAAGAUAGUACAUUCAUUAAAUUAUAUGUAUUUUCUAAUUAACAUAAAUUAACAGUUUUAUCUCUGGAUGGAGGCACUAGGAAUGAAUUUAACUUUUUACCUCCUUUUUUGGGGGUCUGGGAUUUGUAUAAUGAACAUACUUUUAUAAUCAGGGGGGAAAAAAGUAUAUAUUUGAAAACAAUACAUCUUUUUUAAUCUUAAAAGAAAAUUGAUGUAACUGAAUCUGGUCAUGACUGUUUUCCCAAUUUGACCCUGAAAAUAAUUAUGUUGGACAGAAAGGAAAACAGAAUUCUAAAUUAGAUCAAGAACAUAAUUGAAAGGUUGAGUUUGACGUGGCCAUCUUAACAACUACUGAAUUUAUAAAUUCUACUGUUGUUUUCAACUGCAAGUCAGUUUUUGAAUGUCACUUAGAUUCUCCUGAAAGAUGCAGUUUCAAUAUUUUUUAUAUUUAUAUUUUAUACAUACACUGGGUUAAAGACUAGAUUUGUUCACAUUCCUUCUCUUAAUUAUAGUAUAAUUUUUUUCACUUUCCUGAUACCACUUAAUAGUUACUUGAGUGUAUGUUUUAACUCUUCUAAAAAUGUGGAGUAUGAACUUGUGCCUUAUUAAAUUCUGACGUCAUCUCCUACCAGAGAACCUACCAUAAGCCCUGAGGAAUGAAUGAGUGAAUGAAUGAAUGCAAUGUAUAUAUUAUCUCCAUUUUGUAUCUCAGUAGAUAUGACUUAUUGCAGGUAGUAGUCAGCAAUCAUGCCUACUCUGUUAUUUAGCACUAGCUGUAGGAAGGCAAAGGGGCACAUUUUAAUGGAACAGUGGAGCAUUUAAAUAAAUCUGUCACAGAUAUUCUUACCGCCUUUGUAAAAAUCUGAUCUAAUUCCUCUUAAGUAAAAGAGGUUUCACGAAAAGGAACUUACUAUAAAACCUAAUUAUAGACAAAGUUAGACCUUGGAGCUAUUUUUUCUUUUUUUCUUUUUUACCACAGUCAUACUUUUUUUAAUCAGGAAAAUAUCUAGCCCUAUUCCCCAUUUCUAGCAAACUUAGUAUUUCUGUUACUGCUUUUUCUAUAUCAGAAGAAUUUACAUGAAAAGCACUUGAUAAUAUAUGCAUUAAUAAUAGUUGAC